UACGUAGGGGGCGAGCGUUGUCCGGAAUCAUUGGGCGUAAAGAGCUCGUAGGCGGCUCAGUAAGUCGGCUGUGAAAGCCCGGGGCUCAACCCCGGAACUGCAGUCGAUACUGCUGUGGCUAGAGUCCGGUAGAGGAGAGUGGAAUUCCCGGUGUAGCGGUGGAAUGCGCAGAUAUCGGGAGGAACACCAGUAGCGAAGGCGGCUCUCUGGGCCGGUACUGACGCUGAGGCGCGAAAGCGUGGGGAGCAAACAGG
rnacentral:rRNA from 1 species